UAUGUGAUCGUCUCUCGCAUAUCAAUAAGCGGAGGAAAAGAAACUAACAAGGAUUCCCCUAGUAACGGCGAGUGAAGCGGGAAGAGCUCAAAUUUGAAAUCUUAAAGGGUUUCCCUUUACGAAUUGUAGUUUAAAGAAGUGUUUUCUGUUGAGGUUUUGGUAAAAGUUCUUUGGAAUAGGACAUCAUAGAGGGUGAGAAUCCCGUAUUUGACCUUUACUUUCAACUUUGUGAUACACUUUCAAAGAGUCGGAUUGUUUGGGAAUGCAGUCCAAAAUGGGUGGUAAAUUUCAUCUAAAGCUAAAUAUUGGCGAGAGACCGAUAGCGAACAAGUACCGUGAGGGAAAGAUGAAAAGAACUUUGAAAAGAGAGUUAAACAGUACGUGAAAUUGUCAAAAGGGAAGCGUUUGACACCAGUGUUGUUUUUCUGAAAAUCAAUUGAAGAACUGUUUAUGCUAAGUUGUUUAGACUUUAUCAGCUAACUGUUUAGUUUUGAGCCUUUCUUUAAUGCACUUUUCAGUUAACAAGUCAACAUCAAUUUCUUUUGCUGUAAAGAAGCUUGAGGAAGGUGGCUUGAGAUUCGUCUUAAGUGUUUAUAGCCUCUUGCCUAUGCAGUCGGAGAGAUUGAGGUCUGCAGCGUAGAUCCUUCGGGGCUAAAUGCAUUUGUGCUAAGUUAUAACAUUUUAUAGACAACUUGUUGACUAUGAUUUGUCUUGUAGCUUACUCGCUUAUGUUAUUUUACCUACGCUUAGGAUGUUGAGUAGCGACAUACGCAC
rnacentral:rRNA from 1 species